rnacentral:rRNA from 1 species
GACGAACGCUGGCGGCGUGCUUAACACAUGCAAGUCGAACGGAAAGGCCUGCUUUCCCUUGUGGAUUGCGGGUACUCGAGUGGCGAACGGGUGAGUAACACGUGAGUGAUCUGCCCCCAACUUGGGUAUAAGCCUGGGAAACUGGGUCUAAUUCCCGAUAGGACUGCAGGGUGGUGCCUGUGGGGGAAAACGAUUUUCUAGUGGUUGGGGAUGAGCUCCGGGCCUAUCAGCUUGUGGGUGGGGUAAUGGCCUACCAAGGCGGCGACGGGUAGCCGGCCUGGGAGGGUGGACGGCCAGAUUGGGACGGAGAUACGGCCAAGACUCCUCCGGGAGGCAGCAGUGGGGAAUAUUGAACAAUGGGCGGAAGCCUGAUGCAGCGCCGCCGGGUGGGGGAUGACGGCCUUCGGGUUGUAAACUCCUUUCGAACGCGAGGAAGCAACGUGGUUGGAAGGGUGGUGACGGUAGUGGUAGAAGAAGCACCGGCUAACUACGUG